rnacentral:lncRNA from 1 species
CUAUAUGUUACAAAUAAAAGAUAAAGGAUCAAAGUGUUACAAAUAAAUAAGAUAAAGGACUUCUGGUGUAAUUUUGCCUUUAUUAUAUUUGUGAGUGUGUGCCUAAAUGAUUUUUUCUUAGGUUUCUGCUCAAGAUAGAAUUUCUCAUCAUAAUUCAUAAGUAAUAAUAAGAUGCACAUGCACUAAAGGACAAAAACAAAUAAUUUAAAAAGCUUAAGGACGAGAAUAUUAUUUUAAUUCAAUUUAAAAAUCAACAGUCUCACCUCACCUAACACUGGAUAGCCCUUGGAAUAUAUCAAGCCAAUCAUUUGAUUGUUUCCAUUGAGUUUCCU